rnacentral:rRNA from 1 species
UACGUAGGGUGCAAGCGUUGUCCGGAAUUAUUGGGCGUAAAGAGCUCGUAGGCGGUUUGUCGCGUCGAAUGUGAAAACCCGGGGCUCAACCCCGGGCCUGCAUUCGAUACGGGCAGACUAGAGUUCGGUAGGGGAGUCUGGAAUUCCUGGUGUAGCGGUGAAAUGCGCAGAUAUCAGGAGGAACACCGGUGGCGAAGGCGGGACUCUGGGCCGAUACUGACGCUGAGGAGCGAAAGCGUGGGGAGCAAACAG